UACGGAGGGUGCAAGCGUUAUCCGGAUUUACUGGGUUUAAAGGGUGUGUAGGCGGAUUUUUAAGUCAGAGGUGAAAUCUCCAGGCUCAACCUGGAAACUGCCCCUGAUACUAUUAGUCUUGAAUAUUGAUGAGGUGGGCGGAACGGGUCAUGUAGCGGUGAAAUGCUUAGAGAUGACCCGGAACACCAAUUGCGAAGGCAGCUCACUGGGCAAUUAUUGACGCUGAGGCACGAAAGCGUGGGGAGCAAACAGG
rnacentral:rRNA from 1 species